rnacentral:rRNA from 1 species
AUAGAACGCUGGCGGCAGGCCUAACACAUGCAAGUCGAACGGUAACAGGAAGAAGCUUGCUUCUUUGCUGACGAGUGGCGGACGGGUGAGUAAUGUCUGGGAAACUGCCUGAUGGAGGGGGAUAACUACUGGAAACGGUAGCUAAUACCGCAUAACGUCGCAAGACCAAAGAGGGGGACCUUCGGGCCUCUUGCCAUCGGAUGUGCCCAGAUGGGAUUAGCUAGUAGGUGGGGUAACGGCUCACCUAGGCGACGAUCCCUAGCUGGUCUGAGAGGAUGACCAGCCACACUGGAACUGAGACACGGUCCAGACUCCUACGGGAGGCAGCAGUGGGGAAUAUUGCACAAUGGGCGCAAGCCUGAUGCAGCCAUGCCGCGUGUAUGAAGAAGGCCUUCGGGUUGUAAAGUACUUUCAGCGGGGAGGAAGGGAGUAAAGUUAAUACCUUUGCUCAUUGACGUUACCCGCAGAAGAAGCACCGGCUAACUCCGUG